rnacentral:lncRNA from 1 species
GACCGGGAGUGUUUGCUACCAAGAGAUUUGAAAAAGGGGAUUUUGUCGUGGAGUACAGGGGUGAAAUCAUCUCUUUCGAAGAAUGUCAGUCAAAAAAGUACUCCACUACAGAGAGUACAUAUCUUUAUGAAUUUGAAUGGAAGAAUCAUAGAUGGUGGUAAGCAGCAGAUUUAUUUUUGAAGAUUUCAAAUAACUUAUUAAAAGAGUAAAAAAGGAAUGGAGUAAUUAAAGUACAAGUUUAAUGUGUUGUAUUCCCUCCUUUUAGCAUUGAUGCAUCCAGAGAAGAUGGGUCACUUGGACGAUUGGCGAAUGACGACCACAAAGUUUGCUCUGAGAAACAUAGAACCAGGAACUGAAAUUGUCUACAACUAUGGGGACUCAAAAUGGCCCUGGCGUAAAAAGGAGAACCUUGAGAAUGCCAACGUUGGGUCAGAUGAACCCAAGCUGUUCCCUGAUCAUGUUACUACUCAGGAGAACCUUGAGAAUGCCAACGUUGGGUCAGAUGAACCCAAGCUGUUCCCUGAUCAUGUUACUACUCAGUAGAACCUUGAGAAUGCCAACGUUGGGUCAGAUGAACCCAAGCUGUUCCCUGAUCAUGUUACUACUCAGGUAAUUGAAUGUUAUAUAACCUGUAUUUACUCUCCAUUUUAUGUGGUAUCUUUUCUAGCAUGUUUGCCAAGUAAGGAUGCAACUAAUAUUCCACCUCGGAAACAUCCUGUCCAUCAUUUAGUAGUAGAGUUCACCUGACCGCACACCUUUCUAGCCUAACCCUCUGGAUAUCUUUUGAACACAUUCAUUUACACUUAUGGGGUCCAUUCAAUUUGAUGGUUCAAUUUUUGUUGUUGAAAUUCACAUCACACACACACACUUGUUUCCAGUCUUGACAUAGUGGGGCCCUCCCGUUUUGAUUAUAUUUGAGGUGAUUUUAAAUACCUUUAGAAAUGCUUGUCAGUUUCCAAACUGAUGUUAUUGCAUGCACACUUUUACACAUUAUUAGGCAUUGUCAGUCUAGACACUUGAAUCAAACGUAUUACCAAUUGGCAGCCUCUAACAGGUUGUUGGGAGUUAUAGCCAUGCUCUUGGGAUUAUUAUUUGCUGUUUUGGCAAUGUUUUUCCUUAAUGGUACUU